CUGGAGCCUGACUUAUCUGAUCCCCUCUCCAGAAGAAGCCAACAAUGGUUUUUGAGUCCGGAGGUGACACAUGCGGUGUUGGAUGAGUCAGACCACUGGGAGCCAGGUCCCUGAAGCUGGGAACACAGGGCUGUCAUUCCAUAUCUGCCCCGAAGGCUGAUGUCUGGCUGCUCGGUUGGAUCAGCCAAUGGGAGGCAGCUGCAGGAGGUGGACAGGAGGGAAGAGAGUGGCCAGGCAUGCACUCUCCCCACCGGGCAACUGUGGCACUGUCUCUGCAGAGCAGCCCUCCGGGCCGCAGCCCCACCAGCUCCCGUCACACUGCCCCCUCCUCCACUUGUCCCUCCAGCUCCCAUGCUGCCGUCUGGUUGCUAUGCCAUCCCUGCUCCUGUCCAGACCUCCCGAAAUAGUUCUUUCUGGAAAAUCUAUUCAGCUGACCUCAAGAGCCAUAAUAUCCUGUGGGCAUCUUGACCUGUGCAGGUGAGGCUGAAGCCCAAGAGGAAAGUCAGUUGCAAGGGGCCUGGUGCUCUUGUGGACACUGACUCUGUCUGUCUGUCUUAGAUGGUGACCCCACCUGGGAGGAGAGGCCCACAGAGCAUCUUCCUCCACCCUCAGCCAUACAGGCAGGAAGAAAAGCUUUAGCCAGGGGGGAUAGCAGAAGGGGGUGGGCAGCCGGGGGAGGAAAGCAGCCUGACCCUCACCCCCGUCGGGUUUCCAGACCCCACUCCCCCCAUCCUCCCACACUUCAAGAGGUCCCAGGCCACAUUUCUCCUUGUGCUCCAGCCCUGCUCUGGGGAGCUGGUGGUGUGGGGCAGGCGUGGUGCCAUGGCCCAGCCUCCUUCCGCAGGGUGGCCUUGUACCUGGUGCCCCCAGGCCUGGCUGGCCCCAGCACUCCUGCCCCUUCACUGCCCAGCAUCUGAACUGCUAAGUGACUCACCCCA